UACGAAGGUGUCGAACGUUGUCCGGAAUUACUGGGCGUAAAGGGCGUGUAGGCGGUCAGGUAAGUGGGAUGUGAAAGCCCUCGGCUCACCCGAGGAUCUGCAUCUCAAACUGCCUGGCUUGAGUAUGGGAGAGGAUGAGGGAAUUCCUGGUGUAGCGGUGAAAUGCGUAGAUAUCAGGAGGAACACCGGUGGCGAAGGCGCUCAUCUGGCCCAAUACUGACGCUGAGGCGCGAAAGCUAGGGGAGCAAACGGG
rnacentral:rRNA from 1 species